rnacentral:rRNA from 1 species
UACGGAGGGUGCGAGCGUUGUCCGGAAUCACUGGGCGUAAAGGGUGCGUAGGCGGCGCGGUAAGUCGGGUGUGAAAUCUCGGAGCUUAACUCCGAAACUGCAUUUGAUACUGCGGUGCUUGAGGACUGGAGAGGAGACUGGAAUUCACGGUGUAGCAGUGAAAUGCGUAGAUAUCGUGAGGAAGACCAGUGGCGAAGGCGGGUCUCUGGACAGUUCCUGACACUGAGGCACGAAGGCUAGGGGAGCAAACGGG